UACUAAAUAUACUAAUAUACUAAAAUUGGAACAAUACAAAGAAGAUUAGCAUGACCCCUGCGCAAGGAUAACAUGAAAAUUCGUAAAAAUAAAUAAAGGUGG